rnacentral:rRNA from 1 species
CCUACGGGAGGCAGCAGUGAGGAAUAUUGGUCAAUGGUCGGGAGACUGAACCAGCCAAGCCGCGUGAGGGAUGAAGGUACAGAGUAUCGUAAACCUCUUUUGUCAGGGAACAAAGGCGGGGACGCGUCCCCGGAUGAGUGUACCUGACGAAAAAGCAUCGGCUAACUCCGUGCCAGCAGCCGCGGUAAUACGUAGGGGGCAAGCGUUAUCCGGAUUUACUGGGUGUAAAGGGAGCGUAGACGGCUGCGCAAGUCUGAAGUGAAAGCCCGGGGCUCAACCCCGGGACUGCUUUGGAAACUGUGUAGCUAGAGUGCUGGAGAGGCAAGCGGAAUUCCUAGUGUAGCGGUGAAAUGCGUAGAUAUUAGGAAGAACACCAGUGGCGAAGGCGGCUUGCUGGACAGUAACUGACGUUGAGGCUCGAAAGCGUGGGGAGCAAACAGGAUUAGAUACCCGUGUAGUC